GGGCGUGUAGCUCAGCGGGAGAGCACUACGUUGACAUCGUAGGGGUCACAGGUUCAAUCCCUGUCACGCCCACC
rnacentral:tRNA from 2 species